rnacentral:rRNA from 1 species
UGGGGAAUCUUGCACAAUGGGGGAAACCCUGAUGCAGCGACGCCGCGUGAACGAUGAAGCCCUUCGGGGUGUAAAGUUCUUUCGACAGGAACGAUAAUGACGGUACCUGGAGAAGAAGCUGCGGCUAACUACGUGCCAGCAGCCGCGGUAAUACGUAGGCAGCGAGCGUUGUUCGGAGUUACUGGGCGUAAAGAGUGCGUAGGCGGCGAGCCAAGUUUGGUGUGAAAUCUCCCGGCUUAACCGGGAGGGUGCGCCGAAAACUGGUUGGCUAGAGUAUGGGAGAGGAAAGCGGAAUUCCUGGUGUAGCGGUGAAAUGCGUAGAGAUCAGGAGGAACACCUGCGGUGUAGACAGCUUUCUGGACCAAAACUGACGCUGAGGCACGAAAGCGUGGGUAGCAAACA